rnacentral:rRNA from 1 species
CGGAGGUGCAAGCGUUAUCCGGAUUCACUGGGUUUAAAGGGUGCGUAGGUGGGCAGGUAAGUCAGUGGUGAAAUCUCCGGGCUCAACCCGGAAACUGCCAUUGAUACUAUCAGUCUUGAAUAUCGUGGAGGUAAGCGGAAUAUGUCAUGUAGCGGUGAAAUGCUUAGAUAUGACAUAGAACACCAAUUGCGAAGGCAGCUUACUACCCGAAUAUUGACACUGAGGCACGAAAGCGUGGGAUCAAACAGGAUU